CAGUAGCCGCGGUAAUACGAAGGGUGCAAGCGUUGAUCGGAAUUACUGGGCGUAAAGCGUGCGUAGGCGGUUUGUUAAGUCUGUUGUGAAAUCCCCGGGCUCAACCUGGGAAUGGCAAUGGAUACUGGCAAGCUAGAGUGUGUCAGAGGAUGGUGGAAUUCCCGGUGUAGCGGUGAAAUGCGUAGAGAUCGGGAGGAACAUCAGUGGCGAAGGCGGCCAUCUGGGACAACACUGACGCUGAGGCACGAAAGCGUGGGGAGCAAACAGGAUUAGAUACCCCAGUAGUCCCUGUCUCUUAUAC
rnacentral:rRNA from 1 species